UACGUAGGGUGCGAGCGUUAAUCGGAAUUACUGGGCGUAAAGUGUGCGCAGGCGGCUUCGCAAGUCGAGUGUGAAAUCCCCCGAGCUUAACUUGGGAAUUGCGCUCGAAACUACGGAGCUGGAGUGUGGCAGAGGAAGGUGGAAUUCCACGUGUAGCGGUGAAAUGCGUAGAGAUGUGGAGGAAGCACCGAUGGCGAAGGCAGCCUUCUGGGCCAACACUGACGCUCAUGCACGAAAGCGUGGGGAGCAAACAGG
rnacentral:rRNA from 1 species